AAGUCGUAACAAGGUUUCCGUAGGUGAACCUGCGGAAGGAUCAUUACAGAGUUCAUGCCCUCUAUGGGUAGACCUCCCACCCUUGUGUUAUCAUUACCUUUGUUGCUUUGGUGGGACGCACGCCUGUGCCUCGGGCUCUCGCGCCUGGGUGUGCCCACCAGAGGAAACCCAAACCCUUUUUGUCAGUGUCGUCUGAGUACUAUAUCAAUAGUUAAAACUUUCAACAACGGAUCUCUUGGUUCUG
rnacentral:misc_RNA from 1 species